rnacentral:rRNA from 1 species
GAGCGAACGGACGAGAAGCUUGCUCCUCUGAUGUUAGCGGCGGACGGGUGAGUAACACGUGGAUAACCUACCUAUAAGACUGGGAUAACUUCGGGAAACCGGAGCUAAUACCGGAUAAUAUUUUGAACCGCAUGGUUCAAAAGUGAAAGACGGUCUUGCUGCCACUUAUAGAUGGAUCCGCGCUGCAUUAGCUAGUUGGUAAGGUAACGGCUUACCAAGGCAACGAUGCAUAGCCGACCUGAGAGGGUGAUCGGCCACACUGGAACUGAGACACGGUCCAGACUCCUACGGGAGGCAGCAGUAGGGAAUCUUCCGCAAUGGGCGAAAGCCUGACGGAGCAACGCCGCGUGAGUGAUGAAGGUCUUCGGAUCGUAAAACUCUGUUAUUAGGGAAGAACAUAUGUGUAAGUAACUGUGCACAUCUUGACGGUACCUAAUCAGAAAGCCACGGCUAACUACGUGCCAGCAGCCGCGGUAAUACGUAGGUGGCAAGCGUUAUCCGGAAUUAUUGGGCGUAAAGCGCGCGUAGGCGGUUUUUUAAGUCUGAUGUGAAAGCCCACGGCUCAACCGUGGAGGGUCAUUGGAAACUGGAAAACUUGAGUGCAGAAGAGGAAAGUGGAAUUCCAUGUGUAGCGGUGAAAUGCGCAGAGAUAUGGAGGAACACCAGUGGCGAAGGCGACUUUCUGGUCUGUAACU